CUGCUGCGUCCCCGUGCGGCUAGAGGCAGUCGAGGAGGAGGAGGAAGAGGAGGUGGAGGCGUGGUCCUGCUGUCCCACCACCACUCUCAAGUCCUUCACUCUCACUGCCUUGGUCCUGUUGGUGGUGGUUUAAGUGGCAGGACGCAGGAGGCCGCGGUAAGCACGUGGGAAUGGUCAAGCAAGACGCCCGUGCACCGUUUGGAGGCUGAGCGGUCCAUCUGCGGCUUAUCAGAGAUCCCGACGUUCCGCAGCACUUUCCUCUCGAUGCCCACCUGGUGGACGGGGAGCAGGAGGAAGAGGGCCAGAUGCUGGGAGCGGUCUCCUUCCACGACUGGCGGCGAAGGCGUUCCUCGUUUGUAAGACCGACGACACCUGCCUCAAUUCCGGAAGCUAAGGCUGGAAGGGAGAGAAGGAGUGAUCGAUGGAUGGAUGUCGCCGCACUGGAGUCAUAUGGCGCCCAGAAAGAGGAGGCGUGGUAAGCCAUCCACACUCAGCAGCUGGCUACCGCACCAACCUUCAUAUCCCGUGGCGUCACUGCAGAUGGCGGAGGUGAUGGCGCCGUUGUAGUGCACCUUGAAUGACGGCCACAGGAGUCCGCAGGCGGUGUGUAGGUGAGAGUGCACAGUCCGGCAAUGUCAGCCUGCCACUCGGGGUACUGAUAACUCUGCCACACAGUCUGGGCCGCCUCACUGGAAUCCCCGCAAGUCGCUACCUUUGCUGCUGAGGACAAGACAAGGCAGGUGUGUCAGGUUAGGAAGACUGGGGAGGCUUGAGAUUCGCACAGUCUUCCCUCCCACCUCCUCAUCCUCCGCCGCCUCCACCGCCACCAUUGCCGCCGCCGCCACUAACACCGCCACCACCACAGCAGCAGCAGGU